rnacentral:rRNA from 1 species
UGUGGCCGUACCACCCUGAACGCGCCCGAUCUCGUCUGACCUCAGAAGCUAAGCAGGGUCGGGCCCUGUUAGUACUUGGACCGGAGGGGCCCCUGUGAGUAUGGACAUGCUCAUAG